rnacentral:rRNA from 1 species
CAAUAGCGUAUAUUAAAGUUGUUGCAGUUAAAAAGCUCGUAGUUGGAUUUCUGGUCGGAAGCUCCUGUCCUCUGAUGAGCGUACAAGUGCGUCCUACCAUCCUUCUGUUAACCUUUAAGGCUUUCGCGGCUUUCUAGGGGCUCAGAUAUUUUACCUUGAGAAAAUUAGAGUGUUUCAGGCAGGCUAGCGCCGGAAUACAUUAGCAUGGAAUAAUGGAAUAGGACUUUUGCCUCUUCUGUUGGUCAUGAGGCUCGAGUAAUGAUUAAUAGGGAUAGUUGGGGGCAUUAGUACUUAACUGUCAGAGGUGAAAUUCUCGGAUUUGUUAAAGACUAACUUAUGCGAAAGCAUUUGUCAAGGAUGUUUNCAUUAA